CCAAGUGACAGGUAAUGUAAACAUCCUACACUCUCAGCUGUGUAGAUAAGAAGAAAGCUGGGAGAAGGCUGUUUACUCUCUCUGCCUUGGAAA
ensembl:miRNA aca-mir-30c-1 aca-mir-30c-1